GCGGAAUUGGUGGAAUGGUAGACACGCAAGAAUGAGGUUCUUGUGGACGCAUAGUCCGUGGGAGUUCGAAUCUCCUGUCCCGCACCA
rnacentral:tRNA from 1 species